rnacentral:lncRNA from 1 species
UUUUCUUAGAGGAGGAAGCAAAGUUCCGAAAGAGAAGAGAGAAGAGAGGAGGUGUGAAUGCACUAGGCAAGGACAGUCUGAGUGCCUGACUCACCGGAAGUUUCCUAACAUGCAAUUAAAGUGAAACCAGAGUGCGGAUACUGCAGCGGCAACACUGAAUGGGGGAGUAGGAGAGAUGUGGAUUUCCUUAGGCACGUGGUCUUUCCAAACCAUGGAUUGAGAGAGGCAGAGAAGGCUGUGAGCAAGCCCAGCGCUGGACGACUACUUCCUCUGGAGGUGACCUGUUCUUUCUGCCUGGAACCUGUGAGAUUUUCUCAUCAUCCUUGAGGUUCAGGAAUUUCACCAGGUGAAAGAUUCUAGGUACUGCCCUGUUCCACGUGACCACAGGAGGAACAACUGAAGCUGAUCAUCAAUAUUCCAGGUGGCUGCAGUUUCAUCAUCAACUGUGUUAGAGAAGACAGCUGGAAGGAAGCCUCCCUCCAACAAGUGUGGGACGAUGAUAUAAAAAAAGCGUCUUAAGAAAGAUAUUCUUGGAGUGGCUGCGUCUGGAAAUUAGGGGAGAAUUGCCAUAUUG